CCUACGGGGGGCUGCAGUGGGGAAUAUUGCACAAUGGGGGAAACCCUGAUGCAGCGACGCCGCGUGAGCGAGGAAGUAUUUCGGUAUGUAAAGCUCUAUCAGCAGGGACGAAAAAAGACGGUACCUGACUAAGAAGCCCCGGCUAACUACGUGCCAGCAGCCGCGGUAAUACGUAGGGGGCAAGCGUUAUCCGGAUUUACUGGGGGUAAAGGGAGCGUAGACGGCGAUGCAAGUCUGAAGUGAAAGGCGGGGGCCAAACCCCUGGACUGCUUUGGAAACUGUAUGGCUGGAGUGCAGGAGAGGUAAGUGGAAUUCCUAGUGGAGCGGUGACAUGCGUAGAUAUUAGGAGGAACACUAGUGGCGAAGGCGGCUUACUGGACUGUAACUGACGUUGAGGCUCGAAAGCGUGGGGAGCAAACAGGAGUAGAUACCCUUGUAGUC
rnacentral:rRNA from 1 species